ACUUGACUUCUGCUUUCUCAGCCUUAGUUCCCUCAUCUCUAAAAGGAGAGGACUGGCCUAGAUGACCUUCUGGCCCUCCAUGCUAAUCUCUUCAUAUUUUGAUUCUUAAUUAAUUGACUCUGGAUCAGGAAUCUGCCACCUCACUGAAAUAUUUUCGAUUUACAUAAUCAUGGACUCAGGCUAUGUUUUUAUCCUUUAGUAAUUCAAACAGUUCUGUCCUUUCAUCUGAGGGGACAUUCUUCUCUAGACAAAUUGUAGCACCUCUUAUUGCAUAUGAUUUCACGAGUGGGUUUCAGCAACAGCACGAACAAAUAAUAAUAAUAAUGAUCUCCAAAGGUAUCCUCUGGCAAUGAGUCUCUAGGACUUUGGUUCAGCUAGUUCUUGGACAACAGUAUGUGGCAGGUCUGUCCUUGAAGCCUUCUCAGCUUAGAUCUGGCAGAGUUUACACUCGGAUGCUCGUCGCCAAGGACCUGGGGUUGCUACCCCACCAUGAGGAGGUAUCAGAGAGAGCCUGCCGUGCAGGCUUCAUGCAUGUAUUUAAAUUAAGUCUGCCUGCUGUCCUAAUAGAACAGUUGGCCAGAAGCUGACUAUGACUAAUAGAUAUCAUUAGCAGAAAUAAUUUGUCAAAAUAAAAAUAAGUCCUUUGUGAAAAGUGAUGUUACAAUAACAAGAAGUAGGAUCGAGGAAAGUGUCUGCUCCUGGAGUGCCGAGGGCACGUGGUCUUCUCUAGAGGGUAAUUGGACGCGUGGUCCAGAGUGUGCCGGGCAACCUUUUCAGUUUGCCCCUGUUUAGAGGGCUGAGAUUAGCCUUGGUAUGAAGUCCCAGAAACUCGGGAAGGCAGCAUGGCGUGGACUUGGAGAUGGGACACGCAGGGUUCAGUCCUUGCCUCUGACUCUCACUAGUCACAUCUGCCAAGUGUGAGGGAGUUAGCCUCAGUGAUCUGGUGCAAAGCUAGAUUUGUGAUCCCAUGACUGGCAUUGUGGGGGCACCUUGAGACAGAUCUGGUCAGCAGGGCGUUUCAUCCUGAGUCAGGGAUCCAGUGAUGCUGAGAAUCAAAGGAUCUGAGCAAGACCAGUGGAGAGCGCCAGGGAGAGGUAAGCAAUGGCAGCCGCACUGGGAUCUUCACAAUGCACGGUGAAUGUGAGAAGACCUCAGUCUGUUGGGGGGACCUCCUGUGCUGACUUUGUGGCACUGUGCUGCUUAUCCUUGGAGGGGACACUCACCCUGAGGAGAUGGCACUGUGGUCAAGGUGAUAUAGUGAAAGAACACUGGCCAGAGGACUGGAGGUUCCAUUCUUCCCUCAGUCAUUCACCCCCUGGGUGACUUGGGCACAUUAUUUCAUGUCCUAGCCUCAGUUUCCAUAUCUGUCAAAAUGAGGUGGUUGGAUUAGAUGGCCUCUAAGGUUCUUUCUAUGUCAAAAGCUGUGACUUUGAGAGUAAUGGAGUAUUUUGAUUUUAAAGAUCUUACCAUAAGCCCCCAGUGACUCCAUUAUUUCCAUUGUGAGUCAUGGCUCUGGAGAUGAGGACCUCUUUUCUUAUUGGUCAGCUUCCUUCCCCACAGUGGACCCUAUGGCUGCUGCCUCUGUGUCUGCUCUUCCAUCUCUCUUUUUUAAUUUCUGCUGCUGGCAAAGAGCACUUUGGAUUUCUCCCAUCAUCUGAUCCUCUCAAAUAUUUCCCUUUCAUUAAUGUUUCCUCAGGAGUUCAGAAGUACCCCAACAAGGCAAGAAAUGAAUAUCUAAUAAGGGAAAUGAGAAGAAAGCUGUUUGGAAGGAGGGGGCCUUUCCUGUUGCCCACGGCGACUCUACUUGGUAAGAGCUGGGUCAGAAGUUUGGUGCCCAUUUCUGGACAAUGGUCAGCUCAUGCCUCAUGCAGUCGAUGUGUGUGUUCCUGAGACUUGUGUGUAAAGAUCAUUUAAACACAAAUUGAUCUUUGGUAAACUGAACCAUAA